GGAUUGUAGCUCAGUGGUAGAGCACUUGCCUAGCAUGUGUGAGGCCCUGGGUUCAAUUCCCAGCACCA
rnacentral:tRNA from 1 species